UUAGGCCAGGCCCAACCUAAACCCAAUCAUCAAUCAAGAUCAGCCAAAUCCAAAUGUACCAAACCGGAGCUAAACGCAUUUCGACAGGAGGAAUCAACGCGACAGCGGAGGAGCAUCAAAUUGGCAGCAACAAUGUCUGAGAUCCAAUUUCAUCAGGAGUAGCAGUACAAAGUUCGCAACAACUUUUCGCGGAUCUGGCAUUUCAGCGCAGACCGGAAAUGAUUUGGGAACAACGCGCUCCAGAUCGGGGAGGCGGCGAAGGGAGGUCACUUUUAAAACCAGAUCCCCCUCCCUUUGCUCUCUUGCCUUCUCCUCCUCGGCAACAACAACAAUGGGGGAACCAAUCCCCAAUCCAAAGAAGAAAAAGAAAAAAAAAAGGUCGCGACAGGCAUAUCAUAUACACAUGUAGGCGCACACGGACGGAGCGCCAGAUCUACGGCGAUGUCGGCGGGUCGCUCUCGUCGUCGUCUCCACGGCCUUAGGCGGAGGAGCGGGCGAGGCGGGAUGCGAUGGCGGAGUGGUACAUGGCGUCGUGGAAGGACUCCGUCUGCGCCAUCCGCGCGCGCAGCUCCCGGGCCUUCUCCUCCGUCAGGCCCCCCACGAACGCCCUCCCCGGGGUGGCCGCCGACGCCGCCUCCUUCGCCGCGGGGGCCGGAGCCUCGAUGUAGUCGGCCUUCCCGGACCACCCCAGCAGGGGCGCCCACCACUUGCCGCUGCCCUCCCCGCCACCCGCCGCGGCGCGGGCCACCCCGGCGCCCGCGCUGGCGGCGCGCGGCCGGGCGGAGGAUGCCCCCGCCGGGCGGGCGGGGAAGGAGACGGAGGCGGCGGUUGCGCACGGUGCCAUCGCCAUUUCGGAUCGGUCGGUCGGGCUGUUGCUUGCUUUGGAAUUUGGUGGGUGGGUGCGAGGUGAGGAUGCUGCUGAAGCCUGGGAAAGAAAGAUGAAUGCUGAUGGUGAUGGAGGUGAAGGCCGUAGGGAUGGCGGGGCGUUUAUAGCGGCCGGAUAGGGGAGGGAUGGGAUGGGAUGGGCGAGUGGAUAAGACCGCCGCGUGGAUACGUGCGCGGCAUCCUGGUACGGUGUUACAGGCUGUCCAGCAACGGUGGCCCGUCAUGUCACUGACGCGUGGGUCAGGUUGCGGGCUCCGGCUACGGCGUUGGUGUCUUUUUUUUUUUUCUUUUCGCCGUGACGGUCAUGCCGUUGGGGGCGGUUAACGUUGUUGCGAAGGUAGGGCGAACACGCAAUGUCGUCUUAAUUUAGGUUUUUCUAGAAGAGGAUGCUCACGUGGAAAGAGCAACUCCAACAAUAGGUCGAUUUAAGCUCUGAAGAUUAAAUGGAGAUUCUUUCUAUUUUUUAAGAGCCACAAAAAUACUUCCAAAUCAAGCAAUAACCCUCAUAAAUAGAGGGCUCCCUAGUGACCCCUCAGGAAUGAAACGUGGAGGGGAAUUUGAAAGCCUCACUAAAAUAGGGAGAUAAGUAGAGAGCUUGUUGGAGUGCAUUUUUUUUUUACUUGGCCUUCUAAAACUUGGGAUAGGGGGUUGUUUAGAGGAUGUGCUGGAAUUGCUCUAACAAUUUUUGGCAUCAUGAUGAUCUCUAUCUCAUGUCCGAUUCUGAACGGGAUAAAGAACGAACUAUUUGUUUUGACUUUUCUAGAUACAUACCUUUUGAUAUGCAUCUAAAUAUAUAUUAUGUCUAUAUAUAUAGCAAAAGUUAUAUACUAGAAAAGCUAAAAUAGUAAUUUGUGACGGAGGGAGUAAUUUCUAAGAAUUUGUGUAUGAAAUGGAAAAUUUCAAUUCCAUCCAUAUCAUAAUGAUAACAAUUUUUUCAAGAUGCCUAAAAAAUGACCAUUGUCAAGUCUUACUGUUGUUAAAGAAUAAAUGCCAGCCACCUAUAUUGUACUCCAUAUUCGCAUAUUCAACUCAAGUAGAUGCCUCUGUCUACGGAGUACAUUUGCAUUUUCAACUCAAGUAGAUGCUUCUAUCUACAUCGUGUGAUUACCGCUUCUCGUUUGUUGACCUAAUUAGGUUUGGCAUCUUUGGUAGAACUUCGGCUCCUUCGAAAAAGACUCCGAUUGCGCUUCCUCUGAUGAAGUUGCUUCUCUAGUAGAGUUGGAACCGUUUUGACGUUUUGAAAAAUGUUUGGCAAAACGGCUUCUCCUAUUUUUCAUGAAUAAUGUCCAUUAUACCCCUCGCUAUCUAACUUCAUUGUAGCGAUUUCAUCUAAAAUAAAAAUGAUUAAUUAGUAUGAUUAUAGAUUAACAAUAAUCUACUUUUUCCUUUUCAUUCCCAUUUUCUUUUUAUUAUUUUAUUCUCUCUACCCUUGUAAUUUUUUAUAUUUUUUCUCACCUUUUAUUUUCUAUCUUCUCUCUCAAUCCAUCAUCCUUAUCCGAUGCUCGCUUCCUCCACCGCACAAGAAUGCUCCUCGGCCCUCGCCCUUCUCUACCUUGUUGGCCGCUGCCGGCCUGCCGCUUGCGGGCUGCCCCAUGCGCGUGGCUCUGGCACCACCACAUUGUUCUGCUGCUGCUCCACCGCCCAUCUGCAUAGCAGCUGGUGCUCCACCCCUGCAGCUCCUUCACGUUGUGUCCCUGCUGCUGCUCCACCGCCGUUGGCCGUUGCUCUGCUCUGUAGGCGCCGUGCCGGCUGCUCCAGCUCAGGGGCACCGCUUUAGCCCCUGCACGAUGCUCCCCCGAAGCCGCAUGGCCCCAACGGCGACGCAACACUUCCCCAACGGCCAAUGACCCGACGCCAUGCGCUUUGCUGCCGUUUGUGGCAUUUUUAGGUGAAAUAAUCACCAACUCAAAAGGGUAUUCUGGUACGUGCUGGUGUGGGGACGGAGAGGAGCCGGAGGAGCCAGUAUUUUUGCUCUGCCCCCUAAUUCAAAACCGGUUCCAGCUCCAUCGGUGCUUCAACAGAGGAGCUGCUACUUUUUUUUCCAGGGCUCUAGCAGAAGCCGCGGCGGAGGUGGAGCCCCACCAAAUUGGCCCUUAAUACUCUCCACUUGUUUGUCCUUUCUUUUUUUGGAAGAGUUUGUUUGUCCUUAUUAACUUUCAUGGUUGGAAAGUUGGAACUAGGGUCACGCAAGCUGCGAGAACCGUUCUUUUGCCCAAAGUGAAAGGGUGACCAAGGCUUAUCAAAGGGGUAACUCGUCCAGUAGAGGUACAUGGUGUACAUAUGUACACCUAAUAAUUUUAAGAGAAAAAAUUUAUCCAGUACAUAUAGGUAUAUCCUGAUAUGUAAAAGUGGGUCAAAACGUGUCUGUCUGAGCCGAAACAAGAAAAACAGGCUUGUGGGCCGGCUGUUUGCUCGGCUUGUUGCCUCACGACGUGAAUCCCCUUCUCUGUGAUCCCCGACGUCGUGAAUCGUGAUCCCCGCGCCUCCUCUCCUUUCUCAACUUCUCAUCCGUUUUCUGGUUCGCUGCCGCUAGCGCUAGGGUUAGCUUCCUUCCUUGGCCAUGGCCGUCCCCAUCCAUCGGCGCCUGCUAUAUGGAAGAGGAGCGCAAGAGCGGAGGGCUGAUCUGACAUGGGGUUUGUGCGCCAUGCCUUCUGCACAGCCGGCCAUAGCAAGGGCGGAACAAGUCACCGCGUGACAGCAACGGCCAUGACAAGUGCGGAAGGGCCGGAAGCAUCGCCGGCCCCGGCAAGCACAAACACAGAGGAGGCAGAGCCCACGUCGAGGGUAUUUUGCUUUGUUUGCUAUCAGGGAUACAAAUUCUAAGGGUGGAAAUAGUUUUCGGCUUUGAUUUUUGUGAAGAACAAGCUAAGAAAUAACACGAGGGGCGCUUCAAUAUUUAAAUGAUUGUUUGAUUACAUUUAUCGAGAAGGAACUUUCCUACAUGUUGUUGAUGAAGACAUCGUGGCCGUGUUUAGUUGGGGAAUUUGGGAGGUGCCAAAUUACUGUUACAGCACUGUAGCACACUGUAGCGUUUCGUUUGUAUUUGUGAAUUAUUGUCCAAAUAUUGACUAAUUAGGCUUAAAAGAUUCGUCUCGCAAAGUACAACAAAACUGUGCAAUUAGUUUUUAAUUUCAUCUACAUUUAGUACUCCAUGCAUGUACCGCAAGUUUGAUGUGAUAGGGAAUCUUCUUUUUGCAUAGUGUCAAAGUUGGGAGUUGGGAGUAACUAAACAUGGCCCGUCUCCCGUUUCCAAAAGCUGCCUCAUCGAGUUAAUUUGUAAUUUUUUAUAAGUUGAUGGUUUCAAAAUAUUGUAUGAAUACUAGAUUAAGGAACUAUUUAUACUAAUACCAUGUAGCCUUCAACCUUUAUUUUCAUGAACCUUUAUCUUUUAUAUGCGAUGAUUGUUUGGUUCGUCAGUAUGUAUACACACUCAAUCUUGAAUUCCUGCGCCUGCCACUGAACUUGCACAUGCGGUCCUCUUGGAAGAAAGAAUUCAGCAGUGCGAUUGUUUGGACAUCCCAGUAAGCAGGCACUAGUGGUGUGACUUUCAAGAGGUUUCGCGGCACGGAUUCGUGGUAGCAAAUGGGAGCAAGGAUGCGUAGGGAGCAAAUAAUUUAUUACAUCCUGAAGUCAACUAAAAUAAAAAUGACGUGUAGAGAAGUAAUGGAUAGUUAAACUCGGUUUUUUGUCGUUGAAAACUCUCGAGAAAUUAUUCACCCGCAUUACUUAUUUCAUUUCACAAAUUUCCCUUCCUUCAAGAAGGUAGCCCCUGGCGGAUGUUUGAAUUUGUUCGGCUGCGCUGCAGGUGUUUUGCGUGCGCGUAUGCUCGGUCCGUGUGUUUCUCUAGAAAAGAUUGGCAUGCGACAUGGGACUCGGGCCGAUGUGGAACGGAAAGCCGAGAGCCACGAGUUGGUCAUCAAGAGAGAAUGACCCGGAUGGCCGCAGAUCAGGUGAGCAUUGAGAAUCGUCGUCUCGGAUCCUCGUCAGGUGGUCACGGUCCGUGAGGUCUGUGGACCACAGUGUCUGGUAGGUACUCCGUGCGGCGGGGCCUGGCUGCUUCGGCGCGCCUGCCAAGUGCCGGUCCGCGCCGCGACACGCUGACUCACCGUCACGGGCACCGACCGCGUCCCCGGCUCCCGCUCCGAGCCGAGUCAGCGCCACGCUGCUGCUGACACUGAUGUCAAAACGUACGGGAGGGAGGGAGGGAGGAGGCGGCUCGAUGGCAACUCCGGCGGUGGGAGCCUCAUCCACGGCCUGUGUGGAUAGACGAUGCAAAAGCAGGGGAUCAUCAUCACACAUCUAAGCACCAAUCGGAUCAAAACAACAAAGUUUGUGAUGAUGUAAACCACAUUAAGCCGAGAUCACAGCACCAUCUGUACAUCCACGGUAAAAUGCGGAAUCAGAGAUGGACCAGAACGGGGUCGCGCGCUAAAACCGGAACCCCGUCCCGUUCCUCCUCGACAACGACUACCACUACCAGUCUACUACUGCUAUGUACACGCGGCGCCGGCGAGUUCCUCGUCCCCGCGGCGGCGGCCUACUGGCCCUAGGCGGAGCGCGCGAGGCGGGACGCGAUGGCGGAGUGGUACAUGGCGUCGUGGAACGACUCCGUCUGCGCCAUCCGCGCCCGCAGCUCGCGGGCCUUCUCCUCCGUCAGGCCCCCCACGAACUGCCUCCGGGCCGCCGCCGCGCCGUCCUGCGCCACCGCCACCACCGGCGCCGGGGCCUCCAGGUAGUCGGCCUUCCCCGACCACCCCACCAGCGGCGCCCACCACUUGCCGCCGCCCUCCGCCGACCCGGCGGCCGCGCGGACCACCCCGGCUCCUGCCGCGGCGCCGCGGGGCCGGAAGACGGCUGCGCCACCCGCCGGGGUGGCGGGGAACGAGACGGCGUGUGAGGACGGGUGCCAUCGCCAUUGGAUCUGUGUUGGUUGUUUCUCUUGCCCUGACCGGGUGCAGUGCAGUUGCUUGAUUGCUUUUUGCUUGAAGGGAAACGAGGAUGGAUGGAUGGAUGUCUAUGGCUUGGGGACGGUGGGGAACUUAUAGCGAUCGGAGCGGGGAGGGAAGGGAAGCGAUGGGGACGACGAGCGAGCGGAUAAGACCGCCGCGUGGCCACGCGGCGUCGAUCCCUGCCCGGGUCCGUUACGCGUCGCACGGCCUCAUGGGCCGUGGUACACCUGUACUCCUGUACAGCGAGCGACGGUUACCCUGCCAAGAAUUGCUCCUCUGCAAUUACCGCUUUCCUGAGCCACCGACAGCUGCCGUUGUUUCUUUACUUUCCUGAGCCACCGACAGCUGGGCCCGUCCAGGUGGUGGCUAAUAGGGGCCAGUGGUCUGUUUUGGCCUUGUCAUUGCCGUGACGGUGGUGCCAGCUCGAGCGGUUAAUGGUUGUUGCCCCACGCGAUAGGAGUGCGUAAACUAUCGUCGGACGUCGGACGGGGCUAGCAUCGGACGCAUCACUUUGUUUAUUCUCUCCUGCAAACCGUGUGCGAGUGUCCGGGGAUAGAUCCGCGUUAUAACGUUCUACACGUUUUUCUUUCUUAAUACAUAUAAAGAUACGCAGCUUUCCUACGUAUUCACGAAAAAAAAUUCUCUCCACGCAGCUCUGAGUGCAAGCACGCACCUACCUCUUCUACCCGCAUCAGCUAUGCCAUGAAAAUAGCUGCUGCAGCGUAUGCACGGGAGAUAAGGUAAGGCGGCAGGGGAUCUCUGAAUCAAGCGAUCUGACCACGGUUCCUGAGCGUUGUGGAGGCAACAGCCUUGGCACGGCCCUGGAGGUGGACGAGGCGCACGACCUCGGCGGCAUCUGCCAUUCUAAACAUCAGCAGGACAGAAGCUGCGAGGAGUACUGGAUAGGGGAGCAAAACAAGAAGAGGAUAAAGUUGACCGACCAAAGGAGCAGCGAAGGGUCAUGUGGAUGGAAUCCUGGUCGAGGUUCAUCUGCUGAGGCUGAGGGCGAAUCUGUGAUGCACAACCAAAUGCUGAUCAUUUUGAUACGCAGUAUGUAGCUCAGCAACUGUACACUGUUUCGCAACCAAAUCGCAGAGCAAAUCUGUGGUGAUUUUCGAGUAUGCAUGGCGCAUCACUGAUUGAUAAAUGGGUCAUGGACAUCGACACGCGUCGAGAAGCAACAACGGCCAAUUAUUGGGCAAGAUGAGGAUGAGGGGUGCCGAUUAGGCCAGGCCCAACCUAAGCCCAAUCAUCAAUCAAGAUCAGCCAAAUCCAAAUGUACCAAACCGGAGCUAAACACAUUUUGACAGGAGGACUCAACGCGACAACGGAGGAGCAUCAAAUUGGUAGCAACAAUGUCUGAGAUCCAAUUUCAUCAGGAGUAGCAGUACAAAGUUUGCAACAACUUUUCGCGGAUCUGGCAUUUCAACGCAGACCGAAAUGAUUUGGGAACAACGUGCUCCAGGGAGGCGGCGAAGGGAGGUCACUUUUAAAACCAGAUCCC
rnacentral:lncRNA from 1 species